UACGGAGGGGGCUAGCGUUGUUCGGAAUUACUGGGCGUAAAGCGCACGUAGGCGGCUUUGCAAGUUAGAGGUGAAAGCCCGGGGCUCAACUCCGGAAUUGCCUUUAAAACUGCAUCGCUAGAGUUGUGGAGAGGUAAGUGGAAUUCCGAGUGUAGAGGUGAAAUUCGUAGAUAUUCGGAAGAACACCAGUGGCGAAGGCGACUUACUGGACACAUACUGACGCUGAGGUGCGAAAGCGUGGGUAGCAAACAGG
rnacentral:rRNA from 1 species